GACGAACGCUGGCGGCGUGCCUAAUACAUGCAAGUUGAGCGCUGAAGGUUGGUACUUGUACCAACUGGAUGAGCAGCGCACGGGUGAGUAACGCGUGGGGAAUCUGCCUUUGAGCGGGGGACAACAUUUGGAAACGAAUGCUAAUACCGCAUAAAAACUUUAAACACAAGUUUUAAGUUUGAAAGAUGCAAUUGCAUCACUCAAAGAUGAUCCCGCGUUGUAUUAGCUAGUUGGUGAGGUAAAGGCUCACCAAGGCGAUGAUACAUAGCCGGCCUGAGAGGGUGAUCGGCCACAUUGGGAAUGAGACACGGCCCAAACUCCUACGGGAGGCAGCAGUAGGGAAUCUUCGGCCAUGGACGAAAGUCUGACCGAGCAACGCCGCGUGAGUGAAGAAGGUUUUCGGAUCGUAAAACUCUGUUGGUAGAGAAGAACGUUGGUGAGAGUGGAAAGCUCAUCAAGUGACGGUAACUACCCAGAAAGGGACGGCUAACUACGUG
rnacentral:rRNA from 1 species